GGAUGUGAGGGCCGUCUGUCACCUCAUUGAUCACCAGAAUUGAUUUGGCUGAUCUGGCUGCAUGGGCAGGUGUUCUCUUGUUCUCUCAAAGUUCCAGGUGCUACCUCAGGAAGCUGAGUGCCUGGUCUUCAGUGUUGAUCUCACAGCAGUCUAUGACACGGUCUGG
rnacentral:snRNA from 1 species